rnacentral:misc_RNA from 1 species
GAUGAAGAACGCAGCGAAAUGCGAUAAGUAAUGUGAAUUGCAGAAUUCAGUGAAUCAUCGAAUCUUUUAACGCACAUUGCGCCCCCUGGUAUUCCGGGGGGCAUGCCUGUCCGAGCGUCAUUACAACCCUCAAGCUCAGCUUGGUGUUGGGCCCCGCCGCCCCGGCGGGCCCUAAAGUCAGUGGCGGUGCCGUCCGGCUCCGAGCGUAGUAAUUCUUCUCGCUCUGGAGGUCCGGUCGUGUGCUCGCCAGCAACCCCCAAUUUUUUUCAGGUUGACCUCGGAUCAGGUAGGGAUACCCGCUGAACUUAAGCAUAUCAAUAAGCGGAGGA